UAAUACAGAGAGUGCGAGCGUUAAUCGGAAUUACUGGGCGUAAAGCGCACGUAGGUGGAAUUUUAAGUCGGAUGUGAAAUCCCUGGGCUUAACCUGGGAAUGGCAUUCGAUACUGUGAUUCUAGAGUAUGGUAGAGGGAAGUGGAAUUUCCGGUGUAGCGGUGAAAUGCGUAGAUAUCGGAAGGAACAUCAGUGGCGAAAGCGGCUUCCUGGACCAAUACUGACACUUAGGUGCGAAAGCGUGGGGAGCAAACAGGAUUAGAUACCCUGGUAGUCCACGCCGUCAACGAUGAUAACUAGAUGUUGGGGAGUUUACUCCUUAGUAUCGAAGCUAACGCGUUAAGUUAUCCGCCUGGGGAGUACGGCCGCAAGGUUA
rnacentral:rRNA from 1 species